rnacentral:lncRNA from 1 species
GUGAGCCAAUCUCCAGCUGCCCUAGGACAGAGGAAGUGAGGCGGCACCAGCAGUCGCCUGUGGGUUGAGUCUCAGGGAAUAGACAGUAUGGGGUGAAGUCACUUGCUCAUGGCAUCACCAGAAAGGCUGAGUCCUGGGUGACAGGAAAGGGGAGAUUCCUUCCUCGUGCAGAUCAGCUCACAUUUAUUUUCCCUCCACCUCUGUAUCCCCCUUGACCUGGGUGCCAUGGGUGCAGGCAAAGACACUGACUCUGCCACUGUUCUGCUGGUCACAGACCAUUGGGUG